AUUGAACGCUGGCGGCAGGCCUAACACAUGCAAGUCGAGCGAGCGGCGGACGGGUGAGUAAUGUAUGGGGACUGCCCGAUAGCGGGGGAUAACUACUGGAAACGGUAGCUAAUACCGCAUACUAUCGGAUAACCCAUAUGGGAUUUGCUAGUAGGUGAGGUAAUGGCUCACCUAGGCGACGAUCCCUAGCUGGUCUGAGAGGAUGAUCAGCCACACUGGGACGGAGACACGGCCCAGACUCCUACGGAGGCAGCAGUGGGGAAUAUUGGACAAUGGACGAAAGCCUGAUGGAGCAAUGCCGCGUGUGUGAAGAAGGCCUUAGGGUUGUAAAGCACUUUCGGUAGGGAGGCGGUACCUACAGAAGAAGCCCCGGCUAACUCCGUGCCAGCAGCCGCGGUAAUAC
rnacentral:rRNA from 1 species